AACGAACGCUGGCGGCGUGGAUUAGGCAUGCAAGUCGUACGCGAAAGAGGGGGUAACUCCUCGAGUAGAGUGGCGAACGGGUGAGUAACGCGUGAAGAACCUGCCUUCAACAGGGGGAUAACACUCCCAACGGAGUGCUAAUACCGCAUGAGACCACGGGUCUGCAUGGACCUGAGGUCAAAGGUGGCCUCUGCUUGCAAGCUACCGGUUGAAGAUGGCUUCGCGUCCCAUUAGCUAGUUGGCGGGUAACGGCCCACCAAGGCGACGAUGGGUAGCUGGUCUGAGAGGAUGGUCAGCCACACUGGGACUGAGAUACGGCCCAGACUCCUACGGGAGGCAG
rnacentral:rRNA from 1 species